GGGCCGGUGAGCUCAAUCAGUUGAGCGUGGCGCUAACAACACCAAGGUGUCGCGGGUUCGAUUCCCAUUCGGGCCC
rnacentral:tRNA from 1 species